rnacentral:rRNA from 1 species
UGGGGAAUCUUGCACAAUGGGCGAAAGCCUGAUGCAGCGAUUCCGCGUGGAGGAUGAAGCAUUACGGUGUGUAAACUCCUUUUUUGGUGGAAGACGAAUGACGGUACACCAAGAAUAAGGGACGGCUAACUACGUGCCAGCAGCCGCGGUAAUACGUAGGUCCCAAGCGUUAUCCGGAUUUACUGGGCGUAAAGUGUCCGUAGCCCGGUUUAUAAGUCUGUUUUCAAAUACUCCGACUCAAUCGGAGGAAGGGAAUAGAUACUGUAGACCUAGAGAUUAUUGGAGGUUAGUGGAAUUUCCGGUGGAGCGGUGAAAUGCGUUGAUAUCGGAAAGAACGCCAAAAGCGAAAGCAGCUAACUAUUAUUAAUCUGACGGUGAUGGACGAAAGCUUGAGUAGCAAACGGG